rnacentral:tRNA from 1 species
GGCAGGGUGGCUUAGCGGCUAGAGCACGGCCCUGGGAGCCGGAAGGGCCUGGGUUCUAAUCCCGGCCCUGCCU